rnacentral:rRNA from 1 species
UACGAAGGGGGCUAGCGUUGUUCGGAAUUACUGGGCGUAAAGGGCGCGUAGGCGGCCUUGUCAGUCAGACGUGAAAUCCCCAGGCUUAACUUGGGAACUGCGUCUGAUACUACAAGGCUGGAGUUCGGGAGAGGGAUGUGGAAUUCCAGGUGUAGCGGUGAAAUGCGUAGAUAUCUGGAGGAACACCGGUGGCGAAGGCGGCAUCCUGGACCGAAACUGACGCUGAUGCGCGAAAGCCAGGGGAGCAAACGGG